UACGAAGGGGGCUAGCGUUGUUCGGAAUUACUGGGCGUAAAGGGCGCGUAGGCGGCCUGUUAAGUCGAACGUGAAAUCCCCGGGCUCAACCCGGGAACUGCGUCCGAUACUGGCAGGCUUGAAUUCGGGAGAGGGAUGUGGAAUUCCAGGUGUAGCGGUGAAAUGCGUAGAUAUCUGGGGGAACACCGGUGGCGAAGGCGGCAUCCUGGACCGAUAUUGACGCUGAUGCGCGAAAGCCAGGGGAGCAAACGGG
rnacentral:rRNA from 1 species